AAUGAACGCUGGCGGCGUGCUUAAUACAUGCAAGUCGAACGAGAAAGUGCCCAUCGGGGUGCAAGUAAAGUGGCGCACGGGUGAGUAACACGUAAGUAAUCUGCCCUUUAGUUUGGAAUAACUUCGGGAAACCGGAGCUAAUACCAGAUAAGCUCACGGUACCGUGAGGUACAGUGAGAAAAGGUAGCCUCUUCACGAAAGCUUCUGCUAGAGGAUGAGCUUGCGUACCAUUAGCUAGUUGGUGGGGUAAAGGCCUACCAAGGCAAUGAUGGUUAGCUGGUCUGAGAGGACGACCAGCCACACUGGAACUGAGAUACGGUCCAGACUCCUACGGGAGGCAGCAGUAGGGAAUUUUGCGCAAUGGGGGCAACCCUGACGCAGCGACGCCGCGUGAGUGAAGAAGGCCUUCGGGUUGUAAAGCUCUGUCAGAGGGGACGAAUAAGUGGGGUCCAAUAGGCUCCAUGAUGACGGUACCUUCAGAGGAAGCACCGGCUAACUCUGUGCCAGCAGCCGCCGUAA
rnacentral:rRNA from 1 species